ensembl:lncRNA
AACACAAAGCCUCCACAGCCCUUGAACCGAUCUGUGAUGGAGUUUUCACAGAUGCUGAACUCAGGGGCUGCACUUCCGUUGGGUACAGACAACCUAUGCUGGCCUGCAGGAAAAUGUCUAAUUCAGAGAGAAAGAGAACAUCAAUCAUCUUUCAACCUAAUGCUGACAAAAUUUUAGCUGUUCAGACUCUAUAAAUUGACAUUGUUUUCCUCAGGAGUGAACAUGAAAAGCCAGGGAACACAGUAAACGGAUCCAUCUGUCAUGUCUUCAAAGUCUUCUGACACCCAUGAACUAAAACCACAUCAGCAUAUCUAUGGUCUGGGUCCCUGGAUCAAGAAGAAUGCUAUCUCUUCUGCAGACUUAAGCUCUAGCUAUGGUGUAUGUACAGCCUUUGUAAGAACUACUGUGACUUGGUGCCUAUCCGUUACUGCAAUGUUUAAAGAUCUGUGUCACAUAGUUUCAAAUGUGGAACAAUCCUCUUGGAAUCUGAAGGUUUAUAUAGAUGAAAAAAAUAAAAUAAAAUGGAGGAAUGGAAAUAAGUAUGUUUCUUACUUCUUUCAGAAAGUUGAGGAGAAGAGGGUCUUGAUGGAAAAGCUAAAAAGACAGUGAUUCCAAGUCAAAUGACUGUAAGAUGAAUGCUAACUCCUUGCACUAGAUAGUGAUACUCCUGAUUUAUGCCACUGCAGUCAAGAAAAGAACAACAGACCUUAUAGUUUGUUCAGAAAAUCAAGGAUGGAAUUUUUCCUGACUCAGGCAUUCAACAAAUUUCAAAAGGAAAAGCAGGAAUUCAGGUUUUCAAUAAUGCCUGCUUGGACAUUUUCCUGUUAGCUUUCACGUGUACAGUGAUAACAUUGCUGUGAUCUGAGCUCGUUCUGUUUCUCUACAGUUCCAUUAUCACUCAGGCUCUUCCACUCUGUUCACACACAUCACACAAGCACCAAAAAUCCCUACUCACUGCCAUAUUCGUCUGUUUCUUGGGUAUGCUGUUGUUUCAGAGGAGCUAAACAGGUAGAAAAAUAGAGGAAUGCAGAUGUCCAGCACAGACUUGCACACAAUCUUUCAUUCAGAGAGUUGUGAGACUGUACUACUUGAUUCACCAUGUGUUUUUAAGAAAAUUAUACACAUAGAAUAUAUGUCUCAUAAAUAAGAAACAAAACAAAAGGAAAACAAAAGGAAAGAAAAUAUUAAUGGAGGGACAUUUACUGUUAUACAUACUCUUAUGCAAAAGGUCACGUUUCCUGCUGAUGUAAGCCAGAACAGUUCCAUUGCAUCUGGUUGAAGCUGUACCAAUUUAACCCAUGUAUAUUUUCCAGCCCAGUAUGUCAUGCAAGUCAAACCAUAGAACUGGAACCUUCCAAGCCUUCCCUAUUAUGUUGUUAAAUUCAUACUGCUAUUAGAAAAAAAAAAAAAAUCCUUUUAAAAAAGCUUGCAUACGCAACUUACUCACAUUGCUUUAUUUUUUUGUUGGUUCACAAAAAAAAAAAAAAAAAAAAAAAGAAAAAAGAAUGUAUUUCAAGUUGUCAUAACCUUGCAUUUAGCCAGUGAAAGAGUAAUCUUGAAAGGAGAACACUUUUUUUUUUACAAACUGGACACAUACCCUGUUUAUUUUUCUCUAAAAGUUGCACACCAUAAAGCAAGUAGGUUAUAUUUUUUGUUUGUUUCUUUUAAAACCUUCUUCAGAUAUUAUUAUACAAAAAUAUUCAUAUUCAAGUAAUAAAGAUAUUUUUUAAACAUCCAACUUUCGUAAACCUAAAGCAAAGUCACACAAAAAGGUUUUUUUUUGUUGUUUGUUUCUUUUUUUUUUUAAUCUAGACAAAGUACACCUUGUGCUUUAACAAACCUACAGUAUCAUGUGCUCAUAUACUCUUUACAAGGAUUCUAGUAAGUAUGCUCAUGAGUCAUUAUUCAUUAAAUAAUACAAAAAAUUGUAUCCGGUACAGAACUUGCCUACUUUUGUGGAUUUUAUUUCCCUCAAUUCCGUAAUUCUGUUUUUUUUUUUUUUUUCUUACAUAUGUUAAUUGUGUUUGUAUAUAUGUGUGGAAAAGUUAAGGCAAGUGCAAAGUUACAAAAAUCACUAUUUCUAUUGCUAACAUGUGCAGCAUUCAUAUUUAGUGAGUGAUAUCAUUUCUCCUGUAAGAAUAAAAAUUGAAGAAAAUACAAAAAGUUUUAAUGUGCUAUAUUUGUUACAAUGAGCUGUUUUGUUUUAUAUAUCAGUCUUGUUGAAUUUUCUGAAGGUUUACUAUAAGAUCAAACGUUUUUCUUUUUAAAUUAAUAUACACUGAAACUAGAUAACAUUUUGAUCACACCUUUCUUGCUUCUGAGUAAUGUGUACAUUAUUACUACAAAAAUGCAGUAGUUCUUAGCUAUGAUCCAUCUAAUUUUUUAAAAAAUAAAUAUAAGUUAAUCUCUUUAAGUAAAAUAUCUUAAUAUACAAUAUCCAUAAAUAUAGGUCAAUGUGUCUCUACUUUUGUGUUUCUGUUUUAACUUCAGUGAUUCUGCACAAAGUCUAUAAAGUUUCCAGCUUUCCACCAUACCUGCAGACUUAAAGAAAACCUUGGUAUGUAUGCAUAUGUUAAUCUGUGGUUUAUACAGCAACAGUAAUGGACAUUUGGAAAAGGCAGUGAUUCUGAACUUGAAAAUUAAUUUAUGGAAUAACCAGAAAUAUAUGUUUGCCAGCUCUGGGCCUAGUUCUUCUCUUCUUCAUACCAAUCUGACAAUGUAUUAAUACUCCUGACUUGUGUAGAAUAAUUUCUGACUUCUGUCAACCAGAGAGCAAAUUAAGAAUGAUCUCAGAGCUCAAGAUGGUACUUUCUUAUUUCCAUCAAUGCAAAACUUUGUAAAGUUGGUGAGUAUAACUUUAUACCUGUAAUGUACAUACAUAUAUUUAGCAGGAGAUACAGAGCACUUCAUCUACUGUUCCCAGGAUGAUGGAAGGCCAACUGAGAGCUUUUGGAAUAAAGUGCUUUCCAGCUAUUUGCUUUGAAUAGUGCACUCUCAAGAAGAGACUGUUAUGUGAGUUCUGUGUUGCACUGUGCUUAUGUAGAACCAGCUCCUCCUGAGCUAAAUAAAUUAAGAAAGCUAAAUCCACUGAACAAAUUGCUUCUAUUAAAAAGAUGCUGCACUUACAGUAGAAUCAAGUAUUUCUCUACAGAUUUAUGUUUAUUUGUAUUGUAUUUGCAGCUGUUUUGUAAAAGUGAAACUGGUAAAAUAUUUCUUUUACUGUUGCAAGUAGGCACUUUUUCUUUCUUGUAAAGUUUUUGGUCGUUUUGCUUUCUUAUCUUCUGAAGAAAGUUGCAAGGGCUGCUCUGAAGGUAAUGUCUCCUAUUUUAUGACUUUGGCUCACGACAUUAGUGGUGGAUGUUCGUGGUAUGGCAGUAGAGGUUGAACCUUCCCACCAACAUCCUGUCAUAUGUUGUUGCUGUGAGAGAGAUGGCAGCAGAGGGGCAGUCGGACACAAUGGCGUCCAACACUGAAGAGAGGAUGAAGCAAAGAUGUGGCAUUGAAUUCCUCUAUGUGGAAAAAGCUGACACUCAUUGAUGCUUGCUGAAUGUUUUUGGAGAUGAAACAGUGUAUGUCAGCAUGGUGAGAUGGAGGGGUGAUGCGCUUAGGCAUGCCAUGAAAGACAAACCACAUUCUGGGCAGCUAUGUACAGCUGUCAUACCACGUUAUGAAAGUCUCCAUCAGCUCCUCUGCACUAAUUGGUGGAUUAUGACCAGGAAUCUGUGUAUGGAGCUGAAUAUUGGCUGCAGUGCAUUAGAAAUGAUGGUGGCAAUGUUGGAAUAUCACAAAGUUUGCACCUCAUGGGUCCCACAGAUGUUCGCACAGGGACAGAAAGAACACCAUAUGCAAGCUUGUCAGGAUCUACUGAAUCACUGUGAGGCUAAAGGUGACAGUUUUCCUGGAUCACAUCAUUACUGGUGACAAGACGUGGUGUCACCACUACAAGACAGAGUCAAAAUGGCAGACCACAGACUAGUGAUAUGUGAAUUCCCCAUCAAAGAACAAUUUCAAGACAUAGCCCUUACCGAGUAAAGGAAUAUGCACUGUCCUUUGACAUAGGAAAGGGGCAAUUUCUGAAGGAUUUCCUGAAACCCAGACAAAACAUCAACUCUGACUGCUACAUCACAACGUUGACUAAGUGUUGAACUUUCAGAGUCAGCACAAAGAAAAAGGCACCCUUUCUGUUGCAACAUGAUAACACCAGAACCCCAAAACACCAGUUUGAAGGCCAUGGAGUACAUUGCCAAUCUUGGCUGGACUGUCCUACCAUGGCCAUGGUACAGUAUGGAUUUGGCACCUUUCGACUUUCAUCUGUUUGGGCCGGCGAAGGACUGACUGCAUGGGCAACACACAUCCUAGCAAGGGUGUUAUCAUAGCAGCCAUGAAACAGUGGGUCACCUCUGCUGGUGCAAAAAAUGCAUAACUACUGGUGGUGACUGUUGAAAAACAUUGUUUGGUAGCUGAGAAUUUUCUCUAUCUUAUAGUGUUAUUGUUCUCUUUGAAUUGGUUGUAGUUUCCAUGGAAAUAAAUAGGAGGCGUUACUUUCAGUCAUCUACAUAUGUACUAUAUAUUAAUGAAAUAUUUACCUAUGAGAUGGUACACUUGCUUAAAUUUACUGUAUUAUGAAUAGUCACUUGACAGUAGUAGCUGCACAGACUUAAUACUGUGCUUUAUUUGCAAAAUUCAUAUGUGACUCAAAAUUGAUUUAAGCUACAUCACUGGAUCUAAGAAGUAAUGUUGGGAGGAGUGUCUAUCUAUCUAUCUAUCCAUCUAUCUAUCUAUCUAUCUAUCUAUCUAUCUAUCUAUCUAUUUAUAUGAUCUAAUAUUAAUAUUUUGUCUCUUAGUAUCUUCAAGUCACUAUGUUGUUUGUCACACCACUGCCCAACAUUGUACAGUUGCCUACUUUAAUAUUAUUUGCUUCUGGAAAGGGAUAAGAGAAAAGCAUUAAUGAAUCUGCAAAUCUUUACAAUGAAAUCAAGUUGUUAUAUUUAAUUAUUUCUGUGCUUGCUCACUCUUAGUAAAAAGGCUAGAUCAGAUGUUUACUGGACAUUCAGAAUAAGUUAUAAAUGGUGAUUAUCUUGGGCACGAGGACAGGAGGCAGAGAAGGAAAAAGGUGCAAAUUAGUGAGUUCUAGUCAGCUAUUCGAAACAACCAGUGAUGAUACUGUAGGUGAUCAUUUAUUCACCUUGAGAUACAACUGAUUUUAUCUUAGUCUUUGAGUCUGUGGAGAAUCUUAGCAAGCCAAAAGACAGCAAUCAGAACAAACUGAGAAAGAAAGAAAGUUCAGGUUUCUCACAGAAUCUUAAUCGAUCUGCGAGUGUGGCAUCAAACUCACUGUGUCUAAGCCCAUGCAUUUUGGAGAGGAGGACCUGAAAGCACCAUUUUCCCAUUUGAAACCUCUUUGUUUAAGUGUCUCUGAGGUGGAGAACUGACUAAAGUGGGAGCAGAGGAAAUCCAGCAGCUCUUUGAACCGGUGACCUAUAAAAGGUAGGAGACUUUCAGUUCUCUGGAUCUCACCGCCUUUAUUUUCAAGGUGUUUAUGCCCUCACUUGUCUAAUGUAGUGCAAUGAUACCUCAGUCCUGCUGUCUAUCUCCUUAUGAAAAACAAAUCAAAUGAAACAAAAAAUAGUAUGGAGAGCAACAUGGAAUGAAAACGUCUUUGCAAAUAAUAUGUAUAGGUUGUUCAAUCAAUCUGUCCCCAGUCCCUUAUUCUCUAGACUGCUCUUUUCCAAGAUCCUAAAAGAAGCAUAUCAUGCCUAAGAUGAAGGAACAAAAAUAUUUUCUCCAACAUUACAUAAAGAUCAAGUUGUCAAGUGUUAUUUCAAAUGUCUUUGCUGAUGCUUAUCUAUCUUAAAAAAUAUCAAACAGUAAAAAAAAUAAAAUAAUAGUAGAAAUACUCUUUCAUAUAUGGCAUUGACAGCUGUUCAUAAUUCUUUGUUUAUGAGAUGAGAAUAGUGAAAGUGUAAGUGGAGAAAAUAGGAGAUGAACCCAACAGACACUAAUUAUUAUGCAUCAUGACAGGAACUCUGGCAGAUACUCCUGUGAUUCAGGUAGAUCUUGUCAUGUAGAAAGAAUAUUUCCUACCUCUAGCAAGAUUAUACAAAUGACUUCAGAUAGCACCCAAGAAGGGAAGGAAGUACCUGAGAAAUUUGAGUAUUUAGUGUCAUACAGGCAAAGGAUGUUUGUAAUCACCCAUGACAGCAGAACUGGUUGAGCGUUCAUCACGUAUCACCACGCCACGGUCAGGAAAGCUCUGCACUGUGCUUCUCGCACCUUCUGUUACCUCCAGCUACCCAAUUGUGUCACAGUGCCACCUAGCAAUGAUCUGGUUAAAAGCUCAUCUUCAUUUUGCAACAUAUGGAGGAUAUGGUCCUCCGAACACAGAUGUUUGGGACUUCCUUCAAUUUUUAUGAAAAGACUACUUAUCUUAUUUUGUUGCAUUGUUCUAUGAUUAAACAAUUACACAUUUAAAUACUUAUGCGCAGGCAUAGAAAAGUAUGAAAUGUGUUUUGGGAUGUAAUAAAUAUUUGAGAGUGCCUAGUGCAACAAUUAUUCCCCAGAUGUCUGCACGAUUUGCAGUGACUCAUGUGUUUUGCUGAGGUAGACAUAGGUUGGUAAUCUCAAGAAAGAACCUGAUGUCACUGAACAAUUUUGUUGAGAUAGAUGAAGAGACAGUUGUGUAGCUGUUUCCCUCUCUGCUUUGUAUUUACAUAAUUGUUCCAUUUUAAGUUGCCUGGGUUUUAAGAAGACAAAUGUCCAACACUCAAAUGUGAUGCUGAAGUUACACACAUAAUACUAAUUGUUUAAAUUGUCUACUGAAAUGUCCCUAAGAACUUAAUUAGAGUUGCAGCGUUCACCCAGGAAUAUUAACUCCAGCAAACAAUUUCUUCUAAGUCUGUAUAUUCAUUGUUAUUUGCAUCUUAAACUUGCAAUGAAGGAUGGUACUUUCUAAAAAAAAAUAAGUAUAAUCUCCCUGUGAUUUACCUGUCAUGCAAGCAAUGAAAAGAAAAUUUAAAACUCUUUCUUGCAUAAUUUCCUACAAAACUGCAAGAGAAAACAGUCUGCUCUGGAAAAAGAAGCCCUGAAGAGUUGGUUGAAAUAGGGCUUAGGAAUUUAAUUGCUAUUUCGCUUUAUUUGUUUAUUUUUAUUUAUUUCUUUGAGUGUCUGUCAUACCCUGGAGCUAUAUGGCAGAAGCAUGAGGAUAUUUUGAGCCCAAACUGACCUUUUAAAACCUCAUUUUCUCUUCACAGCAAGUAUCAGGAUAUUACUUCAUAUGAGCAUUCUGUGGAGAUGUAAAGAAUGGCAUGUGAACUGAGAGCAUAUACACACAAAUAUAAAUACUGCUUUGCUCCUGCUUUGCUUUGCUCUCUUCAUGGGAGAGAAGAAAUAUACUUCCUGCAAAGACUUUUCAAGUGUACCCCAAUCUGAGGGCUCAUGGCAAGCUCUGUACUUUUUACACACCCUGAAAGGCAAGUGCAGAGAACACAAUGGAAUGAGAUGGAAUGGGAUGGGAAGGGUGAGGAUCGGGUGGCGUGGGGUGGAGUGGGAUGGGAUAGGAUGGGAGCUGCUGUGAGGGAGUCCAGAUCUGAGGUUAUCUGCUCCACACAGCAACUUCUUCUAAUUGCCUUGUACUAAACUGCGCCCUAACCUGAUAAGAUAAUCUCUUUCUAGGUUCAUCUUUGUUUUCACUCCUAUAGCAGGAGAAACGUGGUGAUGUAUUGAGAACGUAGUUUCAUUUUUACCCUCCUGACUAGGCAAAGGACGCUGUGGGUGCUCCAGGUCUGCAGAGAUCCUCAACUGUGGUCAUGUGCUGCAGCCCUUUGCACCAUCUUGCACUGCCUUAUCCACCUCCAAAUGUACUAGGGACUGAGGGCUUGGUAGGCAUUUAUUUUAUCUGAAUGACUGGAGAAGAAGGAAAAGAGCUAACAUUUGAUUUAAAGUAAAAAAAAGAAAGAAAAAAAGAAAAAAGAAAGGGAAGGGAGGGGAAGGGAAGGGAAGGAAAAUAAGGAAAGGAAAGGAAAGGAAAGGAAAGGAAAGGAAAGGAAAGGAAAGGAAAGGAAAGGAAAGGAAAGGAAAGGAAAGGAAAGGAAAGGAAAGGAAAGGAAAGGAAAGGAAAGGAAAGGAAAGGAAAGGAAAGGAAAGGAAAGGAAAGGAAAGGAAAGGAAAGGAAAGGAAAGGAAAGGAAAGGAAAGGAAAGGAAAGGAAAGGAAAGGAAAGGAAAGGAAAGGAAAGGGUAAUGUAGUAAUGUUAAAAAAACAUAUCCUUUUUUUUUUUUUUUUCUGCAGUAAUUUUUGAGUUCAUUCUGUCAUGCCUUCGUUGGUAAGAGAUAUGUCUUAGUAAAAUAAUGUAAAGAAUAUUUCUGUCAAAUUUCUGGCUCUGAAAUUUAACUUCAGGUUGUUUUCCUAAUACCAGUGACCAGCCAAAGAGGUGUUUAUGCUUACUUUAAGCUCAGAAAUAGUUGAAGAUUACCUAUUUCAUAUACCAUUUAGUUCUUAGAGAAUCAUAUUACUCAUACUCUACCAAAAUAUAUAUUUUUAACUAUCGAAUGCUUCUGAAAUUAUUUUAUCUAGGGUAUUGGUUUUUUAAUGUAAGAAUGCUCUUGAACUGAAUAUAGUUGUAGUAAUAAACAGAAUAUUUGUCUUCAACAGUUCUAUAUCUCAGUGUGCUUAAUUUUUAGUAAUACGAUCAGCUGCAGAAUUUGUGCAUGUUUCAAACAAGUUAUCAGGCCUGCUUUCGUAAUUUAUGCCCUGACUACUACAUAGGUCAAUGGACUCUUGACCUCCCACCUACAGUGCUUAUUGCUCCAGAGCAAAGAUCAGAAAUGUCACAAACAGAAUUUAAACAAACAAAAAGCAUAGGAAAGUUCUUGAUACCAGAAACAUUCAAAUUAGUUUUACUACCCAGGGCAACAGCUCCAAGUUCUGGACCAUCAAACAAAGGCCAGCUAGAGGAGCACAAGGCUGCCAACACAUUUUCUUUGAGGCUAUAGCCAGAGCCAAAAGGAAAUAGCCCAGCAAAAUGACAUCACAAGUGGCAGUUUGGUCCUAAGUCCAAUGUACAAACCCUGUAAUGAAUCUCAAAUGACAGAUCACGUCUCAAAUGUCCAUCAUUCAAUCUCCACUCAGUGGGCUAUUUAGGAUGUGAAGAGCUGCAACUGAUGGGAAAAAACCAAAAACAAAACAAAACAAAAAAAAAAAAAACCAAUCAUUAUACAAGCAGAUUUAUUGCUGUGAAAAUGCUUAGGUUUUUCUGACUCUAGCCAAACUGAUCUCUUGCUCAUCUGAAAAAUGGGUUAUAAAAAGUGUUCUAAUAACAGCAAAUCAGAUAGGGGGUGAGUUUGAAGGCAUAUAGUUACAAUGGAUAAUAAACUAAGCCUGCCACAGAGAUUGUUUUUAGCGCUGUCAGAUUUCUGCCAUUCUCUCUAUUAUGCCAAUAGUGGAUGCAACAAAAACUCUGUGCUAGACAACUGGCAAGUGCAAAUC